GACGAACGCUGGCGGCGUGCUUAACACAUGCAAGUCGAACGGUGAACCUCUUCGUAGGGGAUAAGUGGCGAACGGGUGAGUAACACGUGGGCAACCUGCCCCCGGCUCUGGGCUAACUCAAAGAAAUUGGGGCUAAUACCGGAUGUUCACCGCUUCCCGCCUGGGUGGAGGUGGAACGGGUUUCCGGCUGGGGCUGGGCCCUCGGCCUCUCAGCUCGGUGGUGGGGGAGUGGCAUACCAAGGCGACGACGGGUAGCCGGCCUGCGAGGGUGACCGGCCACACUGGGACUGAGACACGGCCCAGACUCCUACGGGAGGCAGCAGUGGGGAAUAUUGCGCAAUGGGCGGAAGCCUGACGCAGCGACGCCGCGUGGGGGAUGACGGCCUUCGGGUUGUAAACCUCUUUCAGCAGGGACGAAGCGCAAGUGACGGUACCUGCAGAAGAAGCACCGGCCAACUACGUG
rnacentral:rRNA from 1 species